CCUACAUCUGCUACAGGCAGGGAGAUCAGAACACUAAGAGAACAGGCAGCAUAAUUCCAUGUUCCUCCCAAGUAGCAGCCCUGUGGGGAGCUGAGCUUGUUGUCUACUUGCAGAGUUAAAGUAGAUUUGGGGAAGGUGGAAGGGAUCAGUUUCUAAGUGACUUGUCUCUCUCUCACGAUGAGGACAUCUGCUCUCUACUGACUGCCCAGUGCCUCCUGGUCAGACUCGGUUCUGUCUCUCCCAGAUACUUGGUUUGCCAGAAGAGACACACCUAUCUGCAGCAAGGAACGCAACUGACCAGAUUGCAAAGCCGGUCCUGGUGGAUGCUCUGUAGCUGCCCUGGGCCCUGGCGGACUGAUUCAGCAGGAGCAUCUGUGCAUGGGAAUCACGAUCAUCGGGGACCAUGGCUGUGCAGCUGGUGCCGGACUCUGCUCUUAGCCUGCUAAUGGAUGGAGUGGUGACCUUAUGAUGAAGUGCCUCAUGAGUGUGACAGACUUGGGAGCCACAUUGCAAGUGAAUGUUGCAGUGGGAAUAAGAGGUGAGUAAGUAAAAACACAGAGAAGACGUUUCUAGGCGAUAGAGAAGAAAGAUGUUGGAAUUUAGCCUGCAGAGUGGAAGGAGAAACUUAGAGAUGGAAAAAUUGUUUUAAUUAUUGACUCAAGAAAAAAGGCUCAGCGAGGUCAGAAAAUGAAAAAUAUGAAUGGGAGAAUGCUGGCAAUGCAUGGCUCUAAGAAGACAGAAACAUCUCCAAGUAUCAUGUCCAUUGUAUGUGUGCUCAAAAGCAGAAAUACUAACACUAGAGUACAUCCUGUGCCCCUUUAUGUUUAUAAAAAGGAGAAUCUCUUCCAGAAACUCCUUAUGUUUCUUUAACCCAAACAGAACAAUUUGUGUGAUAUGUUACUC